rnacentral:rRNA from 1 species
CCUAAGUAGCGGCGAGCUAAAGGUAAAGAUUCCAAACCAGAGAUAGCAAUAUCUUUGUGGUUGCGGACUGCAAAAUUGAUUCAAUAUUUUUAGCAGAAGUGUAUGGGAAGACACACCAUAGUAGGUAAUAGUCCUGUAAGCGAAAAGGAUAUUGACAAGGCAGGAUCCAGAGUACCACCGGACACGAGGAACCCGGUGGGAAGCCGGGGGGACCACCCCCCAAGCCUAAAUACUACCUGAUGACCGAUAGUGAAAAGUACAGUGAUGGAAAGUUGAAAAGAACCCCGGAAGGGGAGUGAAAAAGAAUCUGAAACCCUAUGUUUACAAGCUGCUAAAGCACCAUAUGAGUGCGAUAGCGUACUUUUUGUAGAACGGUCCGGCGAGUGUAUGUUGCAAGCGAGGUUAAGGUGUUAAGCACUGAAGCCGAAGGGAGACCGAGUGUGAAUAGCGCGUACAGUUUGCAGUAUACGACCCGAAACCGGGUGACCUAACCAUGGACAGGUUGAAGUGGAAGUAAAAUUCCAUGGAGGACCGAACACACGUCUGUUGAAAAAGGCGGGGAUGAGCUGUGGUUAGCGGUGAAAUUCCAAUCGAACUCGGAUAUAGCUGGUUCUCAUCGAAAUAGCUUUAGGGCUAGCCUCAGGAUAGUUUAGCGGAGGUAAAGCACUGAAUGGGCUAGGGGGCUUCACGGCUUACCGAACCCUAUCAAACUCUGAAUGCCGCAUAAAUGUUUCCUGGGAGUCAGACUGCGUGAGAUAAGUUUCGUAGUCAAAAGGGAAAGAGCCCAGACCUACAGCUAAGGUCCCUAAAUGAAUUUAAGUGGAAAAGGAUGUGCAGUUGCGUAGACAACUAGGACGUUGGCUUAGAAGCAGCCACUCAUUUAAAGAGUGCGUAAUAGCUCACUAGUCGAGUGACUCUGCGCCGAAGAUAAACGGGGCUGAAAUCUACUACCGAAGCUUAGGAAUUACAUUUAGUAAUUGGUAGAGGAGCAUCGUAUGCGGGCAGAAGCUGUGCUGUAAGGCAUGGUGGACUGUAUACGAGAGAGAAUGUUGGCAUGAGUAGCGUAAGGCAGGUGAGAAUCCUGUCCGCCGAAAAUCUAAGGUUUCCUGAGGAAGGUUCGUCCACUCAGGGUUAGUCGGGACCUAAGCCGAGAGCGAGCGCUGUAGGCGAUGGACAACAGGUUGAUAUUCCUGUACCACCGAAAGUCGUUUGAGCGAAGUGGGGACACAGAAGGAUAGGUUGAGCACGCUGUUGGUAAUGCGUGUCCAAGCGUCGAGGGAGAACUGGCAGGCAAAUCCGCGAGUUCAAUUCUGAGGCGUGAUGGGGUGGCCGCAAGGCUGGAAGCAACUGAUUUCACACUGUCAAGAAAAGCCGCUAGCGAGACCGUAGGUGCCCGUACCGCAAACCGACACAGGUAGAUGAGGAGAGAAUCCUAAGGUGAGCGAGAGAACUAUUGUUAAGGAACUCGGCAAAAUGACCCCGUAACUUCGGGAGAAGGGGUGCUCCGGAAACGGAGCCGCAGUGAAAAGUCCCAGGCGACUGUUUACCAAAAACACAGGUCUCUGCGAAAGCGAAAGCUGAAGUAUAGGGGCUGACGCCUGCCCGGUGCUGGAAGGUUAAGGGGAUGUGUAAGGGCAACCGAAGCACUGAACUUAAGCCCCAGUAAACGGCGGCCGUAACUAUAACGGUCCUAAGGUAGCGAAAUUCCUUGUCGGGUAAGUUCC